rnacentral:rRNA from 1 species
UGGGGAAUAUUGCGCAAUGGGCGAAAGCCUGACGCAGCGACGCCGCGUGAGGGAUGAAGGUUUUCGGAUCGUAAACCUCUGUCAGAAGGGAAGAAACCGCACUGUGCUAAUCAGCAGUGCCUUGACGGUACCUUCAAAGGAAGCACCGGCUAACUCCGUGCCAGCAGCCGCGGUAAUACGGAGGGUGCACGCGUUAAUCGGAAUUACUGGGCGUAAAGCGCACGUAGGCUGCUUUGUAAGUCAGGGGUGAAAUCCCACGGCUCAACCGUGGAACGGGAUUUGAUACAGCUUAGCUUGAAUCCGGGAGAGGGUGGCGGAAUUCCAGGUGUAGGAGUGAAAUACGUAGAGAUCUGGAGGAACAUCAGUGGCGAAGGCGGCGAACUGGACCGGAAUUGACGCUGAGGUGCGAAAGCGUGGGGAGCAAACAGG